AUUUGUCGUUCAUUCUUUCUUUGACAUUUACUGACAGUGACAGUGUGUGUGUGAUCAAAACAAAAAUGGCUGGAUAUCGUAAUAUUAUAAGAUUUAACUACACAAAUUCAAAAGUUGAAUUCUUUACCAUCCUUGCAAAGACAAGCUUUAAAAAGUUCGACCUUAAUUACUACAGUGCCAUUAAGGAAGAACUACUGCAAGUUCAAGAGGAAAAUAAAUCUGACAAACCUACAACUUCACGCGCGAGCGAGAAAAAAAAAUCGUCGUACGACAACGAAUACGAACUGUAUAAGGACAGGGAGGCCCUGAUUUUGAUUAAGAAAAGAGAAAACCCAAAUGAUCCCGUAUUAAGGUAUUUACCAUUGGAAGAUUCUUUCGAUGCUCUUAUUACGAUUCACUUGAUGGUUGGCCAUAACAAUACGAAUGAAUUUCUGAAAUUGGUAAAAGAAAAGUACGCGGUCCCUGAAUGCUACGUAGAUUUUAUUCUAAUUGCGUGUAACGUAUGUUGUAAUAAAAAAAAGAAAGAGGAACGUGAACGAAAGUCAAAACAAGAAUUGAAUGUACCAAAUGAUAACAAACAAGAACAAAAAGAUGAUCACGACAAUGUUAGUACUGAUCAGUACAAUAAGGAUGUGAGAGUCGAAAUUUGUGACAUGACGUUAUAUCGAAUAGAUGGCAACUUCAAGUUCCUAUUAAUAUACGUCGAUAUAAACACGUCUUUCACUUUACUCCGGCCAUUGCUACUGCGGUGUGUUCAAGAAAUUGCCACUGAGAUGCUAAAUAUAUUCUCAGGUUUCGGGCCACCUAAAAACUUAUAUGUUCAUGAUAACGACCAAUAUCUUUUUAAUGAAGUUUUAUCAUUCAUUUACAAUAAUUUUUGCCCGGAGAGUAGCAUGCCUGAUAUAAAGAUUUUUCAAAUGAACUUGAACAGCAGUGUCAUAUUAAAUAUGCUCUCCUCGUGGAUGUUAUCGACAGGUCACAAAAAUUGGGGUAUAGCCUGCCAUUUGUUCCAGUGGCAUUUGAAUAAUACGGUAAAAGGGAUUUAUAUUUCUAAAUUAUGUUCGGUUGAAAGAAGAUCAAACGUUGCUCGAAAAACGCCUUAUUCAAGCGUGUUCCAGAAUUCCAUUCCAUUGCAAACUGAUGUUCAGAAAGAGUCAGUAAAGAGAAAGCGGAAAAGAACCGAUAUCGUUAUGUGGGAUGAUAUAAAUGCAAAAAAGAAUGAACAAGAAAAUGUCAGCGAAGACGAUAUCAAUGAAUGGUACAAGGGGAAACCGGCAGUAGUGGAAAGUUAUGAUAUUACGAUUAUAGAAGAAGAUGACGACGAUUCAAAUAAUAUCUGCUGUGUGUGUGAUCGUCAAAUACUCAAAAUAGCCACUUGUCAACAAUGCAGGCGAAAUAUACACGCGUUUUGUGGAGAGAAGCCAAAACAUUAUGAAAAUUCUAAGUUAUUAUGCUUUUUGUGUUGUAAAAAGCAAGCAUCUUUACCUCUUUGAAAAUGUCCCAUAUUGGUUGAAAGACAUGGAGUACCGAGUAAGGCAUGUAUCUUCUCGCUCGCACUCGCAUGUUUUGGCGGAACUGUGUCCCUUUCUACAGUAUUGUUUGUUUGACAACUUAAAACAUCGUUCAUUCAUUCAUUCAAACAUAAAUGAUGGUUGUUUUGAUUAAUAUUUUGUAUUAAGAAUAGAGUUUUAAUUGUUUUAUUAACUUAAUUUGGUUGUAAAGUUCAUUAUACCACAAGAGUUAGUACUAAUACCUAAAGUUAACGUGGAAAGUGUGACAAAGUGAAAUUUCUCCAAACAGAAGUUUUUAGGUUAUGUUGUGCACUGAAAAAUUUCUGUUGACACAGAUCCAGAGAAGAUUUUUAAACAACGAAAGAGGAAUUCUAAAUUUAACUGGAAAUGUGCCUAAAUAAGGCUUCUAUCUACUAGACGCAUAAAUGGCAAAAUGGCAUCUUCAUCAAAUGAAUGCAAUGAAGCAGAAAUUGACGUUGACAAAUUCAGAGAAGACUUCUGUGAUACUAUUAGCAAACUCCCCGGUUGUAUGCGUCACAGGGAAUAUGAAAAAGUUGUUAGAAAAUUACAGUUGCCCAGCUACAGAGGCGAAGAAAAGGAAAAGUUUGAUGUUACACAUAAAAGAGGAAAACUAUAUUUAAUUGAUAAAUGCAGCCAAUUAAAUGCACCGAAAAGAAAACACCUGUCAGUAGAAGAUAUGUUUCAAAUUAUCUACGAAGCCCAUUUCCAUGUCGAUGUCAACGGACAUCUUGAUCUAAUACAAAUGCGAGAACUGAUUGCGUAUACACAUCCAAAUUUUGUGAUACCAGCUGAAGCUAUAGAUUGGGUUGUAAAUAAUUGUAAAGUUUGUACACCACAAAAUAGUGACUCCAAAGAAAUAGUAUCAAAUAAUUUCAAAACAGGCCAUAAACACGAUUUUGACAGAAACCAAUAUGUCCAUUAUAAAGUUUUAGUAUCCAUUUGUGACAUGUCAAAAGAGAGUGUUAGGGAUAGUCCUUUUAAAUAUGUUUUGAUAUACAAAGAUGCAGGUUACAAUAGGUCACAUACUUUUAUUUUGUUAAGACCGCUAAUUGAUAAUAGCACUUUUGAAGUAGCUUCGGAAUUAGCGAAAAUAUUUUUUACUUUUGGCCCACCGAGAAAAAUUCUUGUUAACAAAGGUGAAGGUGAAUACUUUGACCGUGUAAAAUGUAAUUUGAGCAAAUUAUGUGGAGAAUGUGAUGUGAUUAUAGGAGUAUGUCCUGAGAGGGCGACGGCAAAAACUGAUAAAUAUGUUGUUGAAAAAAUUUUACAAUGGGAGAAGGAGAUGGGAAGUUCCGAAUGGGCUCUUGGUUGUCACAUUGUUCAAUGGAAACUAAACCAGAAACGAAAGGGAUUGGAAUCACCGUAUGAAAAGAUGUUUAGUGUAACAUGCGAGAAAGGUAAACAAAAAAAGUCAACAACAAGUCCAGAAAUAAUUUAUAUUGAAGAGGACAAAAACGACAAUCACUUGGAUUCCCUUUCUGUUGUCGACGCCCCACCUGUUACUGGAGCUAAAAGUAAUUUGGAGAAUGAAGUUGCGGCACAAGAUAAUAUUGCAAGACGCGAUUCCAAUUUGAUAAGUGUAGAUCAAGUUGAAUCGUUAGAAUCUACUGAAGAUGAAGAUGAUCAGAAUCAACAUCAGCAUUCUCAAAAAGUUUUGUCCUCUGAUGGACAUAAGUCUAAAACAGCGAUUACUUCAAAUUCCAUUGAAGAGAAAAUUUCAUCAUGUCAUAUUCAGAAUCAAUAUGCCCCAAACCCUACUACUUCAAAUUCAAUUGAAGAAGCAAUUUCAUCGUUUCAUAUUCCGAAUCAACAUCUUCAAGAGGUUCAAAAAGUUAUGCCCUCCGACGAACAUGACACAAAUACAGCUAAUACU